rnacentral:rRNA from 1 species
UACGAAGGGGGCUAGCGUUGCUCGGAAUCACUGGGCGUAAAGGGUGCGUAGGCGGGUCUUUAAGUCAGGGGUGAAAUCCUGGAGCUCAACUCCAGAACUGCCUUUGAUACUGAAGAUCUUGAGUUCGGGAGAGGUGAGUGGAACUGCGAGUGUAGAGGUGAAAUUCGUAGAUAUUCGCAAGAACACCAGUGGCGAAGGCGGCCAACUGGUCCGGUACUGACGCUGAGGUGCGAAAGCGUGGGGAGCAAACAGG